rnacentral:rRNA from 1 species
UACAGAGGGUGCGAGCGUUGUUCGGAAUUAUUGGGCGUAAAGGGCGCGUAGGCGGCGCCACAAGUCACUUGUGAAAACUCUGGGCUCAACCCAGAGCCUGCAGGCGAAACUGUGGUGCUGGAGUAUGGGAGAGGUGCGUGGAAUUCCCGGUGUAGCGGUGAAAUGCGUAGAGACCCGGAGGAACACCAGUGGCGAAGGCGGCUUCCUGGUCUGCAACUGACGCUGUGGCGCGAAAGCUAGGGGAGCAAACGGG